rnacentral:rRNA from 1 species
GAUGAACGCUCGCGGCAGGCUUAACACAUGCAAGUCGAGGGGUAUUUAUCUUCGGAUAGAGAGACCGGCGCACGGGUGCGUAACGCGUAUGCAAUCUACCUUUUACAGAGGGAUAGCCCAGAGAAAUUUGGAUUAAUACCUCAUAGUAUAUAGACUCGGCAUCGAGAUUAUAUUAAAGUCACAACGGUAAAGGAUGAGCAUGCGUCCCAUUAGCUAGUUGGUAAGGUAACGGCUUACCAAGGCUACGAUGGGUAGGGGUCCUGAGAGGGAGAUCCCCCACACUGGUACUGAGACACGGACCAGACUCCUACGGGAGGCAGCAGUGAGGAAUAUUGGACAAUGGGCGCAAGCCUGAUCCAGCCAUGCCGCGUGCAGGAUGACGGUCCUAUGGAUUGUAAACUGCUUUUAUACGAGAAGAAACACUGCUACGUGUAGCAGCUUGACGGUAUCGUAAGAAUAAGGAUCGGCUAACUCCGUG